GAUCCCAAGCCUUCUGGCGAUCUAUAAGAAGUCUUUGAUUUUGGCUUUGAGGAAUUAUUCCCGUUUUAUAAGAUUAUGCUGGGGAAGGUUUUCCGGUUUAUCCCGGAGGGCUUGUAGCUCAGUUGGUUAGAGCGCGCGCUUGAUAAGCGUGAGGUCGGAGGUUCAAGUCCUCCCAGGCCCACCAAAUUCAUUAAGUGCUUUUAAAGAGUACUUUUUGUGCGUGCAUAUAAAUUUUUACUGCGUGCACAUAAGAAACUAGCGUUUGUCGUCUUGACGUUUAUUUAAGAUGUUAGGUGUUGGUUUUUUCAUUUCGCUAAAGUGGAUUUGACCUAUGCUUUGCGCUUAGAUUUUUGAUCCUUUAUUCUAUAUUAGGGGCCGUAGCUCAGCUGGGAGAGCACCUGCUUUGCAAGCAGGGGG
rnacentral:misc_RNA from 8 species